GAAAAUAUAAACAUUCGACUGCAGUCAAAGUAUUUGGGAGAGGUCCUGGGCUUGUUGCAGCGGAGAUCAUUCAUUCAUUAGCGAGCAAUCUGUGUUGGGACGCAACGUAUACAAUGUGAGACCCACGAAAGUGUCUCUAGAAUAAAUUUGACACCAAAUCCCAAGACUUCGACCAUCCGACUAGAAGAAAUAAAUCAGUCGAAGUGUCGAAGGCUCUUGAGCUCGAAGCGACGGGACUCGUCCGAUCUUUUGUGCGACUUUCCGGCGCCAUAACAUUUACAGUUUAAGACAACGUCUGGACCAUUUUCUAGAGCUCACCCCCAAUUUUCUCCCACUUUGCUUCAUCACCUCCACCACAAUUUUCACAUCCCUAAACAAGUAUCUUUGCGUUCUAGUCUUCAGUCUUCAGCCAGCUCUCACAUAAGAAAAUGAUUAUUUCAUAUAAUUUUUAAAAUGUCGCCAACGAGGAAAGCCCACC